CUUGUACUUGUGCUCGGAUUUGCCAUCUCCUGUUUCCACGAGUGAUUAAUUUAGUCCUCAAGCGAUUCUUUUAUUACGCAGAAGAAGGAAACUCAUACAGAUUUGGAACAACUUGAGGACACCUCCUGAAUCCACUUUCCUUCCUCGCCCUCUCCCGCUGAAAUCAAUCACGGCGCACUUCUUCUCCUCCAAUCAAGACCCUCGGACAAAAAUUCUCUCUCUUGCCCCAUUUUUAUUGUUCAUUCAGCCUGUCAUGUCACAAUAGAAUAACAAGCCAUCCGUUUCCCACACAAUAUCUCGGUGUGAGCCUCUUGAUACCUUUAUCAUAAUGAGAGGAGAAAACAGCCAGCUGUGAUCAUUACACCGUAACACAAAACAGUUAGACUUCAG
ensembl:lncRNA